CCAGAUCUGCAACCGCUCAUUGUAAGCUUUCAAGUGCCAAGGCCGCUUACCAUGGCGAGUCUAAGUUAUUUA
rfam:Aerococcus sanguinicola strain CCTG43001, complete genome.